AGUGAACGCUGGCGGUAGGCCUAACACAUGCAAGUCGAACGGCAGCACAGGAGAGCUUGCUCUCUGGGUGGCGAGUGGCGGACGGGUGAGGAAUACAUCGGAAUCUACUCUGUCGUGGGGGAUAACGUAGGGAAACUUACGCUAAUACCGCAUACGACCUACGGGUGAAAGCAGGGGAUCUUCGGACCUUGCGCGAUUGAAUGAGCCGAUGUCGGAUUAGCUAGUUGGCGGGGUAAAGGCCCACCAAGGCGACGAUCCGUAGCUGGUCUGAGAGGAUGAUCAGCCACACUGGAACUGAGACACGGUCCAGACUCCUACGGGAGGCAGCAGUGGGGAAUAUUGGACAAUGGGCGCAAGCCUGAUCCAGCCAUACCGCGUGGGUGAAGAAGGCCUUCGGGUUGUAAAGCCCUUUUGUUGGGAAAGAAAUCCAGCCGGCUAAUACCUGGUUGGGAUGACGGUACCCAAAGAAUAAGCACCGGCUAACUUCGUGCCAGCCGCCGCAGUAAGAC
rnacentral:rRNA from 1 species